GCCCUCUAAAACUAGCCAGCCCAGUAAAAGGUGGCAUUUGGCAUUUGCCACAAUCUACUGUUCCAGAGCCAUACAAUCUCUUGCCAGUGGCUCCAUAGCAAACAAAAAAACCAGCAAACUUUCCCCCUCCCAUUCUUUUAUUAUACUCGAUAUUAACCCACACAACACCUCCUUCAAGAUCAAUCAAGCAAAUCUCACUGAGCUUGUAAAAGAGAAAAACCUAAAACAACUUCGACAAUUAGGUGGUGUUGCAGGUAUAGCCUCUGCUAUUAAAACCGACAUAGAAGGUGGCAUCUGUGGAGGUGUUCAAGACAUCGCUCGUCGUCAAGAAGCAUUUGGCUCCAACACCUACAAAAAACCACCGACAAAGAGUUUUUUCCAUUUUGUGGUAGAAGCU
rnacentral:misc_RNA from 1 species